AUGAUGCAUAGCCCGACGUUGUAGAGACUGAUCGGGCCGACCAUUGGGGUACGUGAGGACACGGGGCCCAAACCUACCUACCGGGGGGAGGGGGGCGAGCAGUAGGGGGAAGGUACUUCCACCAAUGGACGCAAGUCUGAUGGAGCAACGCCGCGUGAGUGAAGAAGGUUUUCGGAUCGUAAAGCUCUGUUGUUGGUGAAGAAGGAUAGAGGUAGUAACUGGCCUUUAUUUGACGGUAAUCAACCAGAAAGUCACGGCUAACUACGUGCCAGCAGCCGCGGUAAU
rnacentral:rRNA from 1 species